GCCAGCAGCCGCGGUUAUUCGGAGGGUGGAAGCGUUAAUCGGAAUUUCUGGGCGUAAAGCGGACGCUGGCGGUCUGUCAAGUCGGUUGUGAAAUCCCCGGGCUCAACCUUGGAACUGCAUUCGAAACUGGCAGGCUAGAGUCUUUUAGAGUUGGGUAGAAUUCCAGGUGUAGCGGUGAAAUGCGUAGAGAUCUGGAGGAAUAGCGGUGGCGUAGGCGGCCCCCUGGACAAAGACU
rnacentral:rRNA from 1 species